rnacentral:rRNA from 1 species
GUUAUCCGGAAUUAUUGGGCGUAAAGCGUUUGUAGGCGGGCGAGUGUGUUUAAUGUUAAAUCUUAAAGCUCAACUUUGAAAUUGCGUUAAAAACUGCUUGUCUUGAGUAUGGUAGGGGUAAAGGGAAUUCCCAGUGUAGCGGUGAAAUGCGUAGAUAUUGGGAAGAACACUAAACAGCGAAGGCACUUUACUAGGCUAAUACUGACGCUGAGAAACGAAAGGUAAGGUAGCGAAACGGAUUAGAUACCCGUGUAGUCUUACCCGUAAACUAUGGACACUAAACGGUAAAUUUUUAAUUUACUGUUAAAGCUAACGCGUUAAGUGUCCCGCCUGGGGAGUAUGCUUGCAAAAGUGAAACUCAAAGGAAUUGACGGGGGCCCGCACAAGCGGUGGAGCAUGUGGUUUAAUUCGACGGUACACGAAGAACCUUACCAGGAUUUGACAUGCUAGAUAGUUGCUUGAAAGAGUAACGUGCCGUAAGGAAUCUAGACACAGGUGGUGCAUGGCUGUCGUCAGUUCGUGUUGUGAAAUGUUGGGUUAAGUCCCGCAACGAACGCAACCCUUGUCUUUAGUUAUUUUCUAAAGAGACUGCCUGUAAUAAACAGGAGGAAGGUAAGGAUGAGGUCAAGUCAUCAUGCCCCUUAUGUCCUGGGCUACACACGUGCUACAAUGGGAAAGACAAUGAGCUGCAAAUCUGUAAAUUUAAGCAAAUCUCUUAAACUUUCUCGUAGUUCGGAUUGUGGGCUGCAACUCGCCCACAUGAAGUUGGAAUCGCUAGUAAUCGCCAGUCAGCUAUAUGGCGGUGAAUCCGUUCCCGGGCCU